UACGGAGGGGGCUAGCGUUGUUCGGAAUUACUGGGCGUAAAGCGCACGUAGGCGGACUGUUAAGUCAGGGGUGAAAUCCUGGAGCUCAACUCCAGAACUGCCUUUGAUACUGGCGAUCUUGAGUCCGGGAGAGGUGAGUGGAACUGCGAGUGUAGAGGUGAAAUUCGUAGAUAUUCGCAAGAACACCAGUGGCGAAGGCGGCUCACUGGCCCGGUACUGACGCUGAGGUGCGAAAGCGUGGGGAGCAAACAGG
rnacentral:rRNA from 1 species